GACGAACGCUGGCGGCGUGCUUAACACAUGCAAGUCGAACGAUGAGGGCCCGGGCUUGCCCGGGUCUGAUUAGUGGCGAACGGGUGAGUAACACGUGAGUAACCUGCCCCUGACUUCGGGAUAACCGCGAGAAAUCGUGGCUAAUACCGGAUAUGACGCUCUGCCGCAUGGUGGGGCGUGGAAAGACUGUGUCGGUUGGGGAUGGGCUCGCGGCCUAUCAGCUUGUUGGUGGGGUGAUGGCCUACCAAGGCGACGACGGGUAGCCGGCCUGAGAGGGUGACCGGCCACACUGGGACUGAGACACGGCCCAGACUCCUACGGGAGGCAGCAGUGGGGAAUAUUGCACAAUGGGCGCAAGCCUGAUGCAGCGACGCCGCGUGAGGGAUGACGGCCUUCGGGUUGUAAACCUCUUUCAGUAGGGAAGAAGCCUCUCGGGGUGACGGUACCUGCAGAAGAAGCGCCGGCUAACUACGUGCCAGCAGCCGCGGUAAUACGUAGGGCGCAAGCGUUGUCCGGAAUUAUUGGGCGUAAAGAGCUCGUAGGCGGUCUGUCGCGUCUGCUGUGAAAACGCGGGGCUCAACCCCGCGCCUGCAGUGGGUACGGGCAGACUAGAGUGCGGUAGGGGAGACUGGAAUUCCUGGUGUAGCGGUGGAAUGCGUUGAUAUCAUUAGGAACACCGGUGGCGAAAGCGGCUCACUGGGGCUCUUCUGACGCUGAGGCACGAAAGCUAGGGUAGCGAACGGGAUUAGAUACCCCGGUAGUCCUAGCUGUAACGAUGAGCACUG
rnacentral:rRNA from 1 species